GGAUUGCAUGUCACCAUGACUCAGCAAGGAUGUUUCUAGCUGAAGAAAUUGAAUUCUAAAGAGGAAGGAAAAUACUUGAUUCACCUCUCCUCCUCCCCACAUCUUUCUGUCUUGACAUCAAGAACUCUCAAAGAACUCAGCUAAGGAGGAAUGGUCUCAGGCUGAAAGCAGACCCAGCCUGUGCAAUGUAUAGCAGCACAUGGAUGCCUGCCUCAUUCAGUGCACAGGACGGAUCCAGUUUGGGAUUGAAUUAAGGUUAUCUAGCAAUGGGGCUGUUGUUGGUUAAUACCUUCCUGAUUUGUUGCACCGGUUUGAAGGCAUGUGGUGAAUGAGCUAAACCCGAAGAUAAGAAGCUGACUCCAGCCCAAGGCCAGCUACUACCUGCCAAGACAGAAGGGGGGGAAGUCCAACCCCCCCAACCAGCCAUGAGAAAGGAGAGUUGUUGAAUGAAAUGCAGAGGCCGCGAAAAGGAGCAAGACGGCAAAGGCCAGCCAGGGACAAACAAAACAGUCUCACAGCCCUGAGACCGGUGUGUUUUGGGAAAGAUGAAGCAGCCAUGGAAGGCUGGUUUGGACUGGUACACAGAGCAUGGGGAGUAAAGGUCUCUGAAGGAGACGCCCCCAAGAAACCCCAGGACUUAAAACCCUCCUGGGAGCUAAGGCAAAUCAGAGAUCACAGCAGAUCCUGGACGACCCAUGUAUGGGACAAGAACUCCCACCCACCUCUUCUUCUUAUGUUACACCCAGGCUUGGCCAGCCUCGGGUAGUGCAGGUGUGAGUAUGAAAGUG